rnacentral:rRNA from 1 species
UGGGGAAUCUUGCGCAAUGGGCGAAAGCCUGACGCAGCAACGCCGCGUGGGGGACGAAGGCUCUCGGGUUGUAAACCCCUUUCAGCAGGGACGCGGUACCUGCAGAAGAAGCCCCGGCCAACUACGUGCCAGCAGCCGCGGUAACACGUAGGGGGCAAGCGUUGUCCGGAAUUAUUGGGCGUAAAGAGCUCGUAGGCGGCUCGGUAAGUCAGGUGUGAAAUUCCAGGGCUCAACCUGGAACGCCACCUGAUACUGCCGGGCUAGAGUCCGGUAGGGGAGCGUGGAAUUCCUAGUGUAGCGGUGAAAUGCGCAGAUAUUAGGAGGAACACCAGCGGCGAAGGCGGCGCUCUGGGCCGGAACUGACGCUGAGGAGCGAAAGCGUGGGGAGCAAAC